rnacentral:piRNA from 1 species
UGGAGACUCUUGUAAUGGGAUACACUGG